rnacentral:rRNA from 1 species
UACGAAGGGGCUAGCGUUGCUCGGAAUCAGUACGUGGGCGUAAAGGGUGCGUAGGCGGGUCUUUAAGUCAGGGGUGAAAGUCCUCGGGACUCAACUCCAGAACUGCCUUUGAUACUGAAGAUCUUGAGUUCGGGAGAGGUGAGUGGAACUGCGAGUGUAGAGGUGAAAUUCGUAGACUAUUCGCAAGAACACCAGUGGCGAAGGCGGCUCACUGGCCCGGUACUGACGACUCAGGUGCGAA